GUCCACGCUGUAAACGAUGAGCACUAGAUGUUGCUGGUAUUGACCCCGGCAGUGUUGUAGCUAACGUGUUAAGUGCUCCGCCUGGGAACUACGGUCGCAAGAUUAAAACUCAAAGGAAUUGACGGGGGCCCCGCACAAGCGGUGGAUUAUGUGGUUUAAUUCGAAGCAACGCGCAGAACCUUACCCGGGUUUGACAUCUCAAGAACCCUCUAGAGAUAGAGGGGUGCCCUUCGGGGAGCUUGGAGACAGGUGCUGCAUGGCUGUCGU
rnacentral:rRNA from 1 species